rnacentral:rRNA from 1 species
ACUAGAUCGGCAUCGAACUAGUAUUAAGGGAGCGAAUGCUCCGCUACUGGAUGGACUCGCGGUGCAUUAGCUAGUUGGUGAGGUAGAGGCUCACCAAGGCGAUGAUGCAUAGCCGACCUGAGAGGGUGAACGGCCACAUUGGGACUGAGACACGGCCCAGACUCCUACGGGAGGCAGCAGUAGGGAAUUUUCGUCAAUGGGGAAGCCCUGAACGAGCAAUGCCGCGUGAGUGAAGAAGGAUUUCGGUCU